GGCCUUGUAGCUCAGAUGGUUAGAGCGUCGGCCUAACUGAUGCCUUCCUUUUGCUUUCAUGGGUUCAAAUCGCAACGAGGCCA
rnacentral:tRNA from 1 species